UACGGAGGGUGCAAGCGUUAUCCGGAUUCACUGGGUUUAAAGGGUGCGUAGGCGGGCAGGUAAGUCCGUGGUGAAAUCUCUGAGCUUAACUCAGAAACUGCCAUGGAUACUAUUUGUCUUGAAUAUUGUGGAGGUAAGCGGAAUAUGUCAUGUAGCGGUGAAAUGCUUAGAUAUGACAUAGAACACCAAUUGCGAAGGCAGCUUACUAACACAGUUAUUGACGCUGAGGCACGAAAGCGUGGGGAUCAAACAGG
rnacentral:rRNA from 1 species